UUCACAUUGUGUGUAUAAAGAUUGCCACAAUACAGCAUCUGAAUAGCUGCUAUUACAUGCAAACUGCAAUUUACUUUUCUCUGCAAUAUCAUUUAUGAAUUCCAUGUUACUCACCAGAUCAGUUAUUUCUGUCUAUUUCGUUGCUUCAUCCACACAGCUGCGCAGUUCUGGGCUUGGAUCUGGAUGAUUGCCAAUCUCUGCCACGUGCUUGCUUCUAGAAUUCAUGUUGGAUCUUGUGCUUUUUGUCUCAGUUGUAGAAAAUAGUCUUGUACAGUCUUUGUGAUUUGAAAACUUUCUUUUUCUUACAAACCACAGUUCUUUUAUGAUAGUCAGUCUAGAUUCUUUUUUUCUCUUCAAGUUUG